rnacentral:rRNA from 1 species
AUUGAACGCUGGCGGCAUGCCUUACACAUGCAAGUCGAACGGCAGCACGGGUGCUUGCACCUGGUGGCGAGUGGCGAACGGGUGAGUAAUACAUCGGAACAUGUCCUGUAGUGGGGGAUAGCCCGGCGAAAGCCGGAUUAAUACCGCAUACGAUCCACGGAUGAAAGCGGGGGACCUUCGGGCCUCGCGCUAUAGGGUUGGCCGAUGGCUGAUUAGCUAGUUGGUGGGGUAAAGGCCUACCAAGGCGACGAUCAGUAGCUGGUCUGAGAGGACGACCAGCCACACUGGGACUGAGACACGGCCCAGACUCCUACGGGAGGCAGCAGUGGGGAAUUUUGGACAAAGGGCGAAAGCCUGAUCCAGCAAUGCCGCGUGUGUGAAGAAGGCCUUCGGGUUGUAAAGCACUUUUGUCCGGAAAGAAAUCCUUGGCUCUAAUACAGUCGGGGGAUGACGGUACCGGAAGAAUAAGCGCCGGCUAACUACGUG